UUUUCAGAAAGAUAAUCAACCCGUUAGCACUGAAUCGAAACCUGUUCUUCGAUAGAAGUCGGUGAAUAUAGAAGGCAGCCAUAUAGGCAUGUAAACGGAGUUAAAAUAAGAAAUAGACAGACAGAUAAGUAACCCGUUUGAGCUGAAUUUCCAGUUCUUAGAUAUAAAGCAGUCAACACAAUGUAGGAGGCAGAAGUUAAGAUGAUUGACUUUACAGCAAUUGCACUAACAUGAAGC